rnacentral:lncRNA from 1 species
UUUUGACAUAUUCAUAAAUGCAUGCUCCAUAAUUGGCUCCAUUCCAAGCCCUUUGCCUCCCUUUCCCUCCCCUUCUCCCUCCCCUGGAUCUUCUUCCACUCUUCUUCCUUCUCUGUAUUAUUUUUUACAUUAGUGCAUUAUAGUUUUGCAUCCACUUAGGACUCACUGUGAUACUUCCAUCCAUGCACAUGGCAUAAUUUUGUCAAUUUCAUUCCUCAGUUGUUGCCCUUUCCCAUCCUGCCUCCCACCCUACCCUGCCCAUUAUUCUUAAAUUUUGUUACUUAGUCAAAAGAUCCACACAUAGAUCUUGUUAAUUUUUUCAUUUCCAGUGCCCAUCAGUAAACUCACCUUGUUGAAUGGCCUUUCAAAAAAAAGGAGAAGAAGAAAUAACUAAAUAACUUCCUUAAUCAAAGGACAGAAAGGCUGCUAAGAGUCUCACUGGCGGCCAGACAGGGCACUUGGUCUCUUGGUGUGUGAGCUGGGUUCCUUCUGCAGACCAAGGGUACAGAGCAGUGAAGUGAAGCAUGUCUCUUUUGGGUGCACAGCCAACAUAUAGCACUGGGCUUGUUUUGUUGUUUGUGGCUGGCAUCCUGGUAAAGGGUGCCCAUGCAGAUGAACCCCAGAGAGUGCAGGCCAGCCAACAUGCCUGAGUGUUUCCAUCCAGUGAAGUAGCCCAGUGUAUGUCUCAGAGUUUCAGGACUUGCUGUGUCCAGAUUUUCCUUUCUUUUUCUUUUCUUUUCUUCCUUCCUUCCUUCCUUCCUUCCUUCCAUCCUUUCUCUCUCUCUCUCUCUCUCUCUCUCUCUCUCUUUCUUUCUUUCGUACCAGUGAGCUACAUCCCCAUCCCUUUUUGUAUUUUAUUAGAGACAGGGUCUCACUGAGUUGCUUAGGGCCUCUAUGGUGCUGAGGCUGGGUUUUGAACUCAUGAUCCUUGUGCCUCAGCCUCCCGGGGCACUAGGAUUACAGGUGUGCCACCACUGUACUGGGCCAGAAUAUCCUUUUAAAAGUCUAUCUCAUUUGAGUUUGGACUAUCACAUGUAGG